UACGCAUUCCGUUCCGUAGACUAA
rnacentral:siRNA from 1 species